CGAGGUGAGUAAUGUCUGGGAAACGUGCCUGAUGGAGGGGGAUAACUACUGGAAACGGUAGCUAAUACCGCAUAACGUCGCAAGACCAAAGAGGGGGACCGUUCGGGCCUCUUGCCAUCGGAUGUGCCCAGAUGGGAUUAGCUAGUAGGUGGGGUAACGGCUCACCUAGGCGACGAUCCCUAGCUGGUCUGAGAGGAUGACCAGCCACACUGGAACUGAGACACGGUCCAG
rnacentral:rRNA from 1 species